UAACUACUCCCCCCUCAAGUUUAUGACC
rnacentral:piRNA from 1 species